GCCGGAAAGCUGAAACUCUGACAAUGAGAUCCACCGAAAAGUCUCCAGUCGUCCUGUAUUUUAAAGCCAUCUCAGCCGAAUCAGAACUACUGCCUUCCAGUUCGUCUUGUGACCUAUGUUGUUCUCCCAUACCAAAAUAUCAUCAUCCACCAGCGUAUUGCCUUCCGGUUCGUACUAGGUUCGUAAGUGAAUUUUUUUUGUCUUCUUUUUUCCACACGUUUGAAACGCUCCCAUCAUACAACACAUGAAUAACAACCACUUCUUAUGCAGCUCUGUCACUGUCUAUUUAACUCUGUAGGAUGAUGCCGGGCAACAUUCAGUUGAUUUUUUAAAGAGAAUUUAUGUUCUUUGACACAUGCACAUGUUGAGAUUAAUGAGUUUGGUGGAAGCUCAAUGUUAGCAAAGAUGAAUUCUACUUGACACCAGCAAAUUAUAUUAAAGAACUUGAGGAAACUAUGCUUCAGAUUAACAUAGAUGAAUUCAAGUUACUUCUCUUUAUAUCCAUUUCUGGGUAAAAUCUGGUUUGAGUUAUUGAAAAGUCUUUAUACUAACGAGAACUAUGCAGUGUCAGAUUAUUUAUGUUGUGGUGAGAUUACGAAGGGAAUCUCUAAGAGUAUCUGUUCUGAGGAAGAAUCAUGUUCCUAUAAAAGGGCCGUAUUAUCUGUUGUAGAGAAGACUCUGGACAUGAUAUAUCAGAAGAGUUCAUCCCUUAGCAAGGUAGUUUAGUUACCAUGUUCAUAUCUAUUUAUUUACACAAUUAUGGUUCCUAUUUAAAUUAUUUUUUCUGUUUGAAGAUCAGGUCGCACGUGUUUGCAACAGCGUAGUUAUAACAUAUACCAUCAUUGAUCCCAUUGCUUGGCUUGCAAAGUUAAAGGUGUGCUCUAGAUAUUUAUAUAGUAAUAGUUGAACUAUAAAAACAAUGUUAAAACUUAUAUCUCACUCUAAUUAUUAUUAUUUUGCAGCGUUUAUUAGUUUUAUCUUGAACCACCAACUUUUAUUGGAAACACGUACGGUAUGUUACAAGCUGCUGAUACACUUUAUUUGAUUUCAGUAGUUCACAUAUUAGGACGAAACAGGCUUGAGAUUAACGUACUGUGUGACAUGCAUCUUUGUGAAACAGCCUGAGAGGCUUUUCCAAAGGAAUUAGUUAGGUGUCUGUAGUGAAGCUUUCGCUACAAGUUGUAGCCUACAAUUAGGCCUGGAGCUGCUCCAAUGGCUCCUGAUAUGCGAGUUAGACUAUCUCAGAUAGAGCCUGACUUCCUAACCAGAGAUUAAUGAAGGGUCAAAAUAAUAAGGAUAAUUCUAAGGGUUCACGAUGCUUUUUUUACCUUUUUAAAGUUUAACUUUUAAAGCGAUAUGUAUUCAUUUCUUAUGAUUAGAUAAUUGAGCUUAUAAGGUCUGUCAUACACUCUGAUGCCAAAUUACAAAUAUCAUCUGGUUUAUGAAAAUUAAGCUCACCAGUUUUAGGAAGAUACAAGUAUUGUUGUAUAUAUGAAAAUAUUUUUGGGUUCGCACAAAAGUAAGCUCAAAGGUUUUGUUACUCUUUAACAUGUUUCUCCCAAGAAACAUAGAAUCGGAGCUCUUUGCGUUUGCAUCAUCACGAUUUCCUCCCCUCUCCCACAUGUAAUGUUAUAGAGAACAAUUGAAUUAAGUAAAAAAAAAUAUAUAUAAUUUGAAACCAACGAAAAUAUUAUUUAUACAUCCGUCACGUUUUAUAUACACAUUUCUCUGAAAUGCCUUUUUGGCAUGAAUUACUAUAUUUUCCAGAAUAAAAAUCGAGAAAUACAGUGUUCUUCUCUCACAUAAUGACAAUAUUUUAUAAGAAACAUAAGCUAAUUCUUCAAUAUAAAAUAGUCUUAAUAGAAGGACAAUUUUCUCGAAUAGUUCUUUUUAAGUGUUUGUCACAAAAAUAGCAUACAAGAAAAAAAAAAAGACCAAAAUAGCUUUUUUUUUUGAAAUUUUUAAUAUUUAUUUUUUUUAAAUUUGAAACCUUAUCCUCAAAACUCCACCUUUUAACUCUUAACUCUAAACUCUAAAUCUAGAUUAAUUAACCCUAGGGUAAAAAUGUGUGUUUUACCCUUUAAUAAAACUUAUUUUGGUCAUUUUCUUCAUUGAGGGCUAUUUUGUGACAAAAACUUAAAAACGGCUAUUUUAAAGAAAUUCUCUUAAUAGAAUAUUAAAUUUGAACUAAUAUCUCAAUAGUAUAUUCCGUUAGUAAUGUAUUCUAUAAAUAUAAAUUUAAUAUAGUCUUAUGUUUUAAUAUAAUAGAUAUAAGUGAAAAUUACCUCAAAUCAAAAAGCAUACUAGAAUCAAUAUAAGGAUGUAUGUAGUAGGAGAGGAAUAUUUUAAAAAUAAAAACCUACUAAUAAUUAUAUCACAAUAAUAAACAAACUACAAACACAAGGGCUAAAACAAAAACAAAACAAAAAUAUAGCUAAACAUAUAAAAAAGCCUAGAGGAAACACAUAAACAAAAAAACUAAAAACCAAAGAUAAUUAAAUACUUAGGAAAAACAACUGAAAGCAAUUAACGUCCAAAACUGAGAAAUUAAAAAAAAAAAGAUAUUGUAGCCCUAAGACACAAUUGAAAAGUAUGUAAAAAAAAAGAAAGGUUUAAUGAAUUUUUUUUAUCAUAGUUUCACAUUCGUGUGGUUAACUAUAUAAAAAAUGAAAAACAAAUACUUUCACAAAACUAUUGCACAUCGAAGAGCGAAAAUGAAAAUAAUGUUGAUAACGAUCAUUAAUCCCAAAUUAUGAAAGAUUAGAGAUCCAUAUUACUUGAUAUCUCUUAAAAAAUCAUAGUGCAAGAUAAUUAGUCAUAACUCCAAAAACAUUUUUAGCUAAAAAAACACCAGAAACAUAAAUUAAAAUUUCAAAUAAAAUUAAGAAAAAAAAUACAGGAAAUAGAUACCACGUAGAAAGUCAACAAAUAUCAACGAUUAAAAAAAAAAUAACACCAAACUCAGUGUGUUAAUCAUGCAAAUUAUUUUUGAUUUAAAGAAUUGUAAGCAUAUUUUACGAUAGCAAAAAUAUGUCGUAUAGACUACAUUGUGUUAGCAAAUCAUAUUCCAAAUUUAUAAGAACCAAAGGAAAAUAUUGAAAUUUAUAAAACCAGUAAAUAUUUAUAAAGAAUAUAAAUCAAACAAAACAAUCCACAUAAUAGUAAAAAUGAUAAAUUAACAAAUUUAAAAUAUAUACGCGCGGUAAAAUCCCUAGUAUACAUAAUUCUUUUGGAAACCAGAUUCAUAAUAGUUUUAGAUCGUAAAAAAUCAGCUUUGAGAAAAAAACGAGAUUCAUAAGUUUUAGAUCGGAGAAAUCAGCUAUGAUAAGUGUCCACUGGCAGAUCAGUGAAGUAUCAUCCUAAUGUCUCCGCUCAGAAAACUCUGCUUAUAAGUUCCGAGAUCAACAUUAAGGAUGUUGAAGUCACUGACUCACUGCAAACAUGUUUGAGUUUCUUGUACUGCAUGCAACGAGGAGUCGAGACCAAUAAUUUCUCAGGAAGAUUUGAAGAAUUUGACGGUGGAAACAUCUGACCAGGUGAGAUUUUUAUAGUGCAUCGACCAGAGUGAGAUCCUUAUUGAAUCAUUUGACAAAUUUGUUGCCAGUAGAGCCUGGUGAAUGGUAGAGAACCAUUUAACAAUGUCAUGCUCUUACAUUAUAACAAUGUCUUGGCUACGGGCACGUGAGAAACAAACUAAAACUGAACUAAAGUUCUGAACUGUGACACUUUCUUUAGCAUGAAAGUAGGUAGAAGUAUUAACAUUUUUUCUGAAUAAGAUGGGAUGAUCUCAGAUUAGAAAACCAGUGAACACAACUUUGAAAGUAGGGUUAAGAUUUACAUCCAAGAUGCUGCAGUUUUUUUGGGAAACAGAGAGACAAUCAAGAACAAGAAGACAAACAAGAGUGGCGUUUUGUGUCAUAAACCGUAAAGCGUGUCUAAGACGAGCAGCAGUAACU